rnacentral:rRNA from 1 species
CCUACGGGUGGCAGCAGUGAGGAAUAUUGGUCAAUGGGCGGAAGCCUGAACCAGCCAAGUAGCGUGCAGGAUGACGGCCCUACGGGUUGUAAACUGCUUUUAUACGGGAAUAACGCGCCUUACGUGUAGGGCUUUGCAUGUACCGUAUGAAUAAGGACCGGCUAAUUCCGUGCCAGCAGCCGCGGUAAUACGGGAGGUCCGGGCGUUAUCCGGAUUUAUUGGGUUUAAAGGGAGCGUAGGCCGCAUGUCAAGCCUGCUGGGAAAUGGCCGGGCUCAACCCGGGCCUUGCAGCGCGAACUGGCGGGCUUGAGUCGGCGGAAGGCAGGCGGAAUUCGUCGUGUAGCGGUGAAAUGCUUAGAUAUGACGAAGAACCCCGAUUGCGAAGGCAGCUUGCUGCAGCGGAACUGACGCUGAUGCUCGAAAGCGCGGGUAUCGAACAGGAUUAGAUACCCUAGUAGUC